rnacentral:rRNA from 1 species
AUUGAACGCUGGCGGCAUGCCUUACACAUGCAAGUCGAACGGCAGCACGGGAGCAAUCCUGGUGGCGAGUGGCGAACGGGUGAGUAAUAUAUCGGAACGUGCCCAGUCGUGGGGGAUAACGUAGCGAAAGCUACGCUAAUACCGCAUACGAUCUAUGGAUGAAAGCGGGGGAUCGCAAGACCUCGCGCGAUUGGAGCGGCCGAUAUCAGAUUAGGUAGUUGGUGAGGUAAGGCUCACCAAGCCGACGAUCUGUAGCUGGUCUGAGAGGACGACCAGCCACACUGGGACUGAGACACGGCCCAGACUCCUACGGGAGGCAGCAGUGGGGAAUUUUGGACAAUGGGCGCAAGCCUGAUCCAGCAAUGCCGCGUGCAGGAUGAAGGCC